UGUGAAUAAGAAGCACUAGUGCUACACUAGUUCACUACUGCUAUACUCGAACACGAGACGCCAUGGAUUCACUACCAUACACAUCAGCAUGGGACUUGGGCUUGUCGGCAACACCAGCGGAUAUGAGCCCCGAGAACGUGGACUACGGCCUCAGCGACAUGGUCAGGACCAGUUACUUGGCGAAACUGCGCGAAACGUUAAUGUCCAACCUGAGAGGAAACAUUGCGAGUGACCGUGGCUCGGCUGGAGACGUAACGGUCGGAAUGUUCGUGGAAAAAUGUUUGGGCGAGAUGGAAAAGGACGCGUUAAGGAAAGCAUGGUAGCCGAGAUCUACUGCGAGCGAUGCGUAAAACUGUAGACGAAGUGAACAACUGCACGGGUACGUCAACGAUCCACGAUCGACUGAUGACCACGAUCAUAGGGCAUUCGGAUGGUAGGAAUCGUGAAACCGCAUUGAUGAUGAAGGUCGUUGCUGUCGACGUCAAUGAGGGACAGAAAAACUCCAGUGGCGACGCGUACCAACUUCCAAUCCUGACGCAGACAUAAGUCUUCGAUCAAUAGGGCGAACAGGGCAUUAUGACACUCGCCAUCGAGAAUUUUAAGCGCACAUCAAUGUUUCCGGGAUCGAUAACGAAAGACAUUGUGGACCCGAGUACUAUGAGCAAAGAUGGAACUAGGAAUUUUUAC